rnacentral:tRNA from 1 species
GGCACUUUGGCCGAGUGGUCUUAAGGCGCCGUGUUCAGGUCGCGGUCUAGAGAUAGGCGAGGGUUCGAAUCCCUCAGGUGCCA